AAAAAAUUGAUUUGGCUAGAAAAGAAAUUCAAAUUUGCCGCCUAAAUUUGAGUGUUGAUUUGUGUUCAAUGCUUGGUUUCGCAUUAAGUACCCGUCAAAUUUGAGGGAGAAAAGGGGUGUGGGUGUUGGGUAGCCAGCACAUAUGCACAUAUCAGGUAAAAGUGUAAUGGGACUUGUGCAGGUGUUUGGGGUGACUUUAGACCUGUUAGAUGUGAUAUUUGGAGGUGCAAAGAAACCGGAUGUGCCAUUUUCCUAGAUUGUAGUAACUGCUGGUGCAUGCUGGGAGUCUAUACAAGCCUCAUGUUGUCAGAUGUUGUGAAGAUGCACUGGAUUUGACCGUGUGUGUUGUGGAUUGUGGAAUUGAAUAUACAGUUUGUAAUGGCUCAUCCUAUGUGUUCUAAUUCACGGAGACAAUGUCUUUCAGUCAUUUCACCCAAGGAGGCAUGCAUAUACGGAUUGAUAGGCUUUGACAACAAACAACCAAAAUGGCGGCCGGUGAAUUAGAAAGUGUCUGAGUGCAUGUAGGAUAUCUGAACGGAGAAUAGGAGUACUGCAUCCCAUCUGAUCCUGCAGGUAAGUGUUUAUUUGUUUACAAUGACAGUCGGGAUGGAAUGUCAAUGAGUUCAACUGUCAAGUAAAGUUGCAUCAUCAUUAUAAAAAAAAACAACUUAGUCUUUAUGUUGAUGCAGGCAGACAAUUGAAUCUGGCCUAUGUCUUUUCAUGAAUGUAAAUGGAAUUCAUGUUUGAUUGACAAGACAGUCAAGAAAUGGAAGAAGUGGGUGUAGGUCAGAUGUGUAGGUGUAGGUCAGAUUAGCUAGAAUCCUGUAAUUGUUGCAUGGCAUGAGACCGGUCAAAAUAGUGUAUUGAAACAGCUGAUCACAAUCAGAUCACUUGAAGGGUGGGGGAUUUCUUCCUUGGGGACGACAGGCGUGAUGGGUGGGUUGGCCUUACUCGUGGAGACUGGCCCCUGGAUGCGUGACCUUGACCUUUGACCUUGACCCACUUUCAAGGUCAAACCUCAAAAAUCCUGUUGUUGGGCAUGAAACCGGUCAAAAUAGUGUAUUAUAAACAGCUGAGGACAGACAGAUCACUUGAAGGGUGGGGGGUUUCUUCCUUGGGGACGACAGGCGUGAUGGGUGGGUUGGCCUUACUCGCGGAGACUGGCCCCUGGAUGCGUGACCUUGACCUUUGACCUUGACCCACGUUCAAGGUCAAACUUCAAAAACCCAUGGGGGAGAAAGUGUGACUUUGACCUUGACCUGAUUUUGAAGGUCAGAGAGGUCACGGGGCUUCGUUUAAGUGGUCCCGCAUCCCUAUCUACAUCCGUGAAGAAGUUGUGGGCUCGAACGACGACGUCGGAGACUUUCGGGGGCGAGAACCGUGCUUCGGGGUUCUCGGUUUCCCUCGGUCAACUUUUCUGUGCGAGAGCGUUUCAUCUGGAAUUCGUCGGCGAAGGUCUCGCCUCUCCACGACUUGCGGUCUAGUGAGAGUAGCGAUAACGGGGUUUUCGACGUUAAGUCGCCGCCAUUCGCAGAGUGGUCAAAGUUCAGAGUUGACAUUCGUGAUGCCGAGACCGGUCCAAAAUUCCUUGCUGACCCAUGUGAUAUUUCGAUGCUAUCUGAAGCGUGAAAGAGCGUAUAAAAAGUGCCAUUUUCUGGCCAUUCUGGAUGACCUUGACCUUUGACCUUGACCUACUUUUUCAAGGUCAAGGUCACCCAACCCGUCCCAGUGGGUUCCGUCUCUCUACGACGAAGACUUUAGGAGUCGUCAAUUUGUAGGGGACAAAUCGCAAAACAUGAGGGGGCAUUAACUCCCUUUAGGGGACACCGAAUCCCUUCAUUUGAAAUUCUUCGCUUCUACUAAUUACCCUCUGUGUUUUAGAAAAGGUUUCAUCCUCCUAUCAUUUACGGUUACAAAGUAGAAGUGCUAACAAUGAUUUCUGCGAAAGGUCAAAUAACUCCGUAAGGGGUCAAAGUUCAAUUACGCAGGGUGAACUGUAUUCGUUUCUCAAGAAGUACUAUAUGAUGGACUAUAAAGUUUUUCGAUAAGUCUUAAGACGAAGAUUUUUUUUGACGGCAGGAAAAUAAUAAUAAUAAUAAUAAUAACUAGUGAUCCUAAUUGUUCGCGAACAAUUAGAGGGCUUCCCACCUUCUAGCGGUUUUUCAGUAGUGUUGAAAUGCUAAAAGCCCCCCCCCCCCCCCCCCCCCCUACCCCAUCCCACCCUCACCCAAAAAAAAAAAAAAAAAAAAAAAAAAAAAUGGAUUUGGCUAGAAAAGAAAUUCAAAUUUGCCGCCUAAAUUUGAGUGUUGAGGUGUGUUCAAUGCUUGGUUUCGCAUUAAGUACCCGUCAAAUUUGAGGGAGAAAAGGGGUGUGGGUGUUGGGUAGCCAGCACAUAUGCACAUAUCAGGUAAAAGUGUAAUGGGACUUGUGCAGGUGUUUGGGGUGACUUUAGACCUGUUAGAUGUGAUAUUUGGAGGUGCAAAGAAACCGGAUGUGCCAUUUUCCUAGAUUGUAGUAACUGCUGGUGCAUGCUGGGAGUCUAUACAAGCCUCAUGUUGUCAGAUGUUGUGAAGAUGCACUGGAUUUGACCGUGUGUGUUGUGGAUUGUGGAAUUGAAUAUACAGUUUGUAAUGGCUCAUCCUAUGUGUUCUAAUUCACGGAGACAAUGUCUUUCAGUCAUUUCACCCAAGGAGGCAUGCAUAUACGGAUUGAUAGGCUUUGACAACAAACAACCAAAAUGGCGGCCGGUGAAUUAGAAAGUGUCUGAGUGCAUGUAGGAUAUCUGAACGGAGAAUAGGAGUACUGCAUCCCAUCUGAUCCUGCAGUCAUUUCACCCAAGGAGGCAUGCAUAUACGGAUUGAUAGGCUUUGACAACAAACAACCAAAAUGGCGGCCGGUGAAUUAGAAAGUGUCUGAGUGCAUGUAGGAUAUCUGAACGGAGAAUAGGAGUACUGCAUCCCAUCUGAUCCUGCAGGUAAGUGUUUAUUUGUUUACAAUGACAGUCGGGAUGGAAUGUCAAUGAGUUCAACUGUCAAGUAAAGUUGCAUCAUCAUUAUAAAAAAAAACAACUUAGUCUUUAUGUUGAUGCAGGCAGACAAUUGAAUCUGGCCUAUGUCUUUUCAUGAAUGUAAAUGGAAUUCAUGUUUGAUUGACAAGACAGUCAAGAAAUGGAAGAAGUGGGUGUAGGUCAGAUGUGUAGGUGUAGGUCAGAUUAGCUAGAAUCCUGUAAUUGUUGCAUGGCAUGAGACCGGUCAAAAUAGUGUAUUGAAACAGCUGAUCACAAUCAGAUCACUUGAAGGGUGGGGGAUUUCUUCCUUGGGGACGACAGGCGUGAUGGGUGGGUUGGCCUUACUCGUGGAGACUGGCCCCUGGAUGCGUGACCUUGACCUUUGACCUUGACCCACUUUCAAGGUCAAACCUCAAAAAUCCUGUUGUUGGGCAUGAAACCGGUCAAAAUAGUGUAUUAUAAACAGCUGAGGACAGACAGAUCACUUGAAGGGUGGGGGGUUUCUUCCUUGGGGACGACAGGCGUGAUGGGUGGGUUGGCCUUACUCGCGGAGACUGGCCCCUGGAUGCGUGACCUUGACCUUUGACCUUGACCCACGUUCAAGGUCAAACUUCAAAAACCCAUGGGGGAGAAAGUGUGACUUUGACCUUGACCUGAUUUUGAAGGUCAGAGAGGUCACGGGGCUUCGUUUAAGUGGUCCCGCAUCCCUAUCUACAUCCGUGAAGAAGUUGUGGGCUCGAACGACGACGUCGGAGACUUUCGGGGGCGAGAACCGUGCUUCGGGGUUCUCGGUUUCCCUCGGUCAACUUUUCUGUGCGAGAGCGUUUCAUCUGGAAUUCGUCGGCGAAGGUCUCGCCUCUCCACGACUUGCGGUCUAGUGAGAGUAGCGAUAACGGGGUUUUCGACGUUAAGUCGCCGCCAUUCGCAGAGUGGUCAAAGUUCAGAGUUGACAUUCGUGAUGCCGAGACCGGUCCAAAAUUCCUUGCUGACCCAUGUGAUAUUUCGAUGCUAUCUGAAGCGUGAAAGAGCGUAUAAAAAGUGCCAUUUUCUGGCCAUUCUGGAUGACCUUGACCUUUGACCUUGACCUACUUUUUCAAGGUCAAGGUCACCCAACCCGUCCCAGUGGGUUCCGUCUCUCUACGACGAAGACUUUAGGAGUCGUCAAUUUGUAGGGGACAAAUCGCAAAACAUGAGGGGGCAUUAACUCCCUUUAGGGGACACCGAAUCCCUUCAUUUGAAAUUCUUCGCUUCUACUAAUUACCCUCUGUGUUUUAGAAAAGGUUUCAUCCUCCUAUCAUUUACGGUUACAAAGUAGAAGUGCUAACAAUGAUUUCUGCGAAAGGUCAAAUAACUCCGUAAGGGGUCAAAGUUCAAUUACGCAGGGUGAACUGUAUUCGUUUCUCAAGAAGUACUAUAUGAUGGACUAUAAAGUUUUUCGAUAAGUCUUAAGACGAAGAUUUUUUUUGACGGCAGGAAAAUAAUAAUAAUAAUAAUAAUAACUAGUGAUCCUAAUUGUUCGCGAACAAUUAGAGGGCUUCCCACCUUCUAGCGGUUUUUCAGUAGUGUUGAAAUGCUAAAAGCCCCCCCCCCCCCCCCCCCCCCUACCCCAUCCCACCCUCACCCAAAAAAAAAAAAAAAAAAAAAAAAAAAAAUGGAUUUGGCUAGAAAAGAAAUUCAAAUUUGCCGCCUAAAUUUGAGUGUUGAGGUGUGUUCAAUGCUUGGUUUCGCAUUAAGUACCCGUCAAAUUUGAGGGAGAAAAGGGGUGUGGGUGUUGGGUAGCCAGCACAUAUGCACAUAUCAGGUAAAAGUGUAAUGGGACUUGUGCAGGUGUUUGGGGUGACUUUAGACCUGUUAGAUGUGAUAUUUGGAGGUGCAAAGAAACCGGAUGUGCCAUUUUCCUAGAUUGUAGUAACUGCUGGUGCAUGCUGGGAGUCUAUACAAGCCUCAUGUUGUCAGAUGUUGUGAAGAUGCACUGGAUUUGACCGUGUGUGUUGUGGAUUGUGGAAUUGAAUAUACAGUUUGUAAUGGCUCAUCCUAUGUGUUCUAAUUCACGGAGACAAUGUCUUUCAGUCAUUUCACCCAAGGAGGCAUGCAUAUACGGAUUGAUAGGCUUUGACAACAAACAACCAAAAUGGCGGCCGGUGAAUUAGAAAGUGUCUGAGUGCAUGUAGGAUAUCUGAACGGAGAAUAGGAGUACUGCAUCCCAUCUGAUCCUGCAGGUAAGUGUUUAUUUGUUUACAAUGACAGUCGGGAUGGAAUGUCAAUGAGUUCAACUGUCAAGUAAAGUUGCAUCAUCAUUAUAAAAAAAAACAACUUAGUCUUUAUGUUGAUGCAGGCAGACAAUUGAAUCUGGCCUAUGUCUUUUCAUAAAUGUAAAUGGAAUUCAUGUUUGAUUGACAAGACAGUCAAGAAAUGGAAGAAGUGGGUGUAGGUCAGAUGUGUAGGUGUAGGUCAGAUUAGCUAGAAUCCUGUAAUUGUUGCAUGGCAUGAGACCGGUCAAAAUAGUGUAUUGAAACAGCUGAUCACAAUCAGAUCACUUGAAGGGUGGGGGGUUUCUUCCUUGGGGACGACAGGCGUGAUGGGUGGGUUGGCCUUACUCGUGGAGACUGGCCCCUGGAUGCGUGACCUUGACCUUUGACCUUGACCCACUUUCAAGGUCAAACCUCAAAAAUCCUGUUGUUGGGCAUGAAACCGGUCAAAAUAGUGUAUUAUAAACAGCUGAGGACAGACAGAUCACUUGAAGGGUGGGGGGUUUCUUCCUUGGGGACGACAGGCGUGAUGGGUGGGUUGGCCUUACUCGUGGAGACUGGCCCCUGGAUGCGUGACCUUGACCUUUGACCUUGACCCACUUUCAAGGUCAAACCUCAAAAACCCAUGGGGGGAGAAAGUGUGACCUUGACCUUUGACCUUGACCUGAUUUUGAAGGUCAGAGAGGUCACGGGGCUUCGUUUAAGUGGUCCCGCAUCCCUAUCUACAUCCGUGAAGAAGUUGUGGGCUCGAACGACGACGUCGGAGACUUUCGGGGGCGAGAACCGUGCUUCGGGGUUCUCGGUUUCCCCCGGUCAACUUCUCUGUGCGAGAGCGUUUCAUCUGGAAUUCGUCGGCGAAGGUCUCGCCUCUCCACGACUUGCGGUCUAGUGGGAGUAGCGAUAACGGGGUUUUCGACGUUAAGUCGCCGCCUUUCGCAGAGCGGUCAAAGUUCAGAGUUGUAAUUCAGGAUUCCGAGACCGGUCCAGAAUUCCAUGCUGACCCAUGUGAUAUUUCGAUGCUAUCUGAAGCGGGAAAGAGCGUAUAAAAAGUGCCAUUUUCUGGCCAUUCUGGAUGACCUUGACCUUUGACCUUGACCUACUUUUUCAAGGUCAAGGUCACCCAACCCGUCCCAGUGGGUUCCGUCUCUCUACGACGAAGACUUUAGGAGUCGUCAAUUUGUAGGGGACAAAUCGCAAAACAUGAGGGGGCAUUAACUCCCUUUAGGGGACACCGAAUCCCUUCAUUUGAAAUUCUUCGCUUCUACUAAUUACCCUCUGUGUUUUAGAAAAGGUUUCAUCCUCCUAUCAUUUACGGUUACAAAGUAGAAGUGCUAACAAUGAUUUCUGCGAAAGGUCAAAUAACUCCGUAAGGGGUCAAAGUUCAAUUACGCAGGGUGAACUGUAUUCGUUUCUCAAGAAGUACUAUAUGAUGGACUAUAAAGUUUUUCGAUAAGUCUUAAGACGAAGAUUUUUUUUGACGGCAGGAAAAUAAUAAUAAUAAUAAUAAUAACUAGUGAUCCUAAUUGUUCGCGAACAAUUAGAGGGCUUCCCACCUUCUAGCGGUUUUUCAGUAGUGUUGAAAUGCUAAAAGCCCCCCCCCCCCCCCCCCCCCCUACCCCAUCCCACCCUCACCCAAAAAAAAAAAAAAAAAAAAAAAAAAAAAUGGAUUUGGCUAGAAAAGAAAUUCAAAUUUGCCGCCUAAAUUUGAGUGUUGAGGUGUGUUCAAUGCUUGGUUUCGCAUUAAGUACCCGUCAAAUUUGAGGGAGAAAAGGGGUGUGGGUGUUGGGUAGCCAGCACAUAUGCACAUAUCAGGUAAAAGUGUAAUGGGACUUGUGCAGGUGUUUGGGGUGACUUUAGACCUGUUAGAUGUGAUAUUUGGAGGUGCAAAGAAACCGGAUGUGCCAUUUUCCUAGAUUGUAGUAACUGCUGGUGCAUGCUGGGAGUCUAUACAAGCCUCAUGUUGUCAGAUGUUGUGAAGAUGCACUGGAUUUGACCGUGUGUGUUGUGGAUUGUGGAAUUGAAUAUACAGUUUGUAAUGGCUCAUCCUAUGUGUUCUAAUUCACGGAGACAAUGUCUUUCAGUCAUUUCACCCAAGGAGGCAUGCAUAUACGGAUUGAUAGGCUUUGACAACAAACAACCAAAAUGGCGGCCGGUGAAUUAGAAAGUGUCUGAGUGCAUGUAGGAUAUCUGAACGGAGAAUAGGAGUACUGCAUCCCAUCUGAUCCUGCAGAACAAUCUAAAAAUAUGAAGAAAAUUAUACAACCCAGAGAUAUUAUCAACAGCUGACGACAGGCCCCCGAUCUAAAAAGAAGAUGUUAACCAAAGCCCCGUUUUACAACCCGGGAGAAUAUUCCAUCUGUUCAGAAAUGUGGCGAACAUAGAUGCGGGACCUGUAGCUUUAUCAAGGAAGGAAACAAAAUCCAGCUUAAAUCGGGAAUGGAAAUCCACGCCAAUUUUUCAAUGAACUGCAAAUCGGAAAAUUUUAUUUACUGUGACAUUUGCCCGACUUGCAAAGAAUUUUAAAUUGGACAGACCAGUAAAUUAAUUGCAUGCGCGGGUUCGUGUCCACAAGCAACAAAUAAAAAAAGUAAGUGUCCGAAAUACGCCAUGCUGUGAAUAUUUUUCCAAAUGCGGAAAUGGAAAAUUUAUUUCAUUCCCUUUAUAUAAACUUCCGAAUAACAAUGAAGAUCUUCGUUUAAGAAAGGAGGAUUAUUUCAUCAAACAUUUUUAAACCUAAACUUAAUCGUAAAUAGCUUUAAAUGCAUUUAUUCUAUGUACAUCAGUAUUAUCAUAUAUAUAUCAACGUUACUAUAAAACAAUGACUCUCUUAGAGUCUUCAGUUCUUCUUCAUGCAAACUGUUAUAAAUAUCCAACUUCUGAGUCCCAUUGUUCACCACUAUUCUGUCCUGGACAGAGUACAACUCCAGGUAACCCUCGACGGUAUUCUUUGCAAACAGGAUGCCUGGUUCUGUCAGAAUGCUAUCUCCGACUGUCUUAAACUGCAUUUCCUCAAUAGUAGCUGGUUCACCACUGCUGUCUUGGUAUCCUCCUCCCUCUACUCAGGCUCUCACCUCGUUUCCUAUACCAAAAUCGCCGUUUUGCCAUCUGGAGUGUGUUUCUACAAAUCUUUGCGUAUGUUAUAACGUGAUCGGGUGAACUAUAUUCCUGAAUGCUGUGGAGCAUGAAUUGUGCUCUCACCAUUAUAUCAUCGGUGUGUAGCGGUAGGCAUGAGAAUAGAAAUUGAAAAUAUAGCGAUAGGCGUGAGAAUAGAAAUUGAGAAUAUGGCGAUAGGUGUGAGAAUAGAAAUUGAGAAUAUAGGCAUCAAAAUAGAAUAUAGCGAUAGGCGUGAGAAUAGAAUAUAGCAAUAGGCGUGAGAAUAGAAUAUAGCA